UUUUUUAUCUAGCAAAUAAAAAUAUUUAAUCUCUGUUUUAUUUGUCUAGCAAAUAAGAAUAGUAUAGGGUAUCUUUGAAAGAAAAAGAAAACUCACUUUCUGAGAGCUCACAGGGAGGUUAGCGUUUCAUCAGAGCUCACCAGGGAGGUUGCUCGUUUGUUUCUCUCAAAGAGAUUUGGAAAAGAUCUGACACUGUCUAUCAAACUAAAUCAGUAGCAUAAUUUUUCUUUGGGUGAGUAAUAAUUUAUUUUGGAGAAACGGCAUAAGCUUCCCAGGUAAACUUUCUUUUGCUCUAUAAGCAUAAGCUUAUACUGAUUCUUGUCUACAUUUGACUUGCAAAAUUUAUUCAUUAGUUAGUGUUUAGACUUCACUUCCAAGUGGAAACAUUGUGCAUACUGGAGUUGUGUGAUACGGCAGAUGAUGCUUGGGGCAGAUGGAAAGGAUUUCCCUACAAUAUCAGAGAACAAAUAUGCAAUAAAUUUAAGACGAAAUGUGUAUGGCAGUCAUAUUAUGAGAAGAAAAUAAAUUCUAUUUUUGAGAAGAAUGCUCGUAUACAAGUAACUGAAAUGUUGUUUAUAGCUUGAAAAAUAAUGAAAAGCCCAGUUGACUACGAGCAGACAUAUGGGUUAAAUUUUUGGAGACAUGGAACACUACUGAAUUUAAGGAGAAGUGUGAGCGAGCAGAGGUAGCUUGGACAUCCGUAAAGGGUGGCUGCUUACACACCGGAGGUUCUAUGAGUUUUGCAGCCCACAAAACGAAAAAUGACAUUUAUUUCAGGUUCAAUUUCAUAGAGGCUUGGAUGAAUGGCGUCAGACACAUCCUACUCAGAGGUUGAUUCCUCAUCAUCUAGUGCUAUUACAUCUAUAUGGAUAAAUGUGGCAGGAGGUGUGAAGAAAGGUAGAGUUUACGGAAUGGGAGCACAACCUUCCUCAUUUAAUUUUCAUCCAUCAUCAUUAUUGUCUGGUGCUUCUACUUCUCAAUCUUCAAAAUAAAUGGAAGCAAUGCAAAGACAAAUUUCAGAGCUUACAGAACGACUUCAAUCAUCUGAAGCUAACUUUGCUAAAGUGCAAAAAUUUAUGGAGAAACAUAUGGUUGAAUCUGAUGAAAGUGAAAGGACCAACUCUGAUGAAGAGUAGACUAUUUUAUAGUUGUGUAGAUAUAUUUUGUGAGAUUUAGAAAUGUUUUGAACAUUUUACUUCCUUUUUGCAUAAUAACUUAAUACUUAUUAGACUUGAUUUUGGUGAUGCUUGAGCUGUUAGACUCAAUUGAAUUGAAUAGAAAGCAAUAUGAAUGUUUUGGAAUGUAUUUGAUGUUUCAUAUUA